ACGAACGCUGGCGGCGUGCUUAACACAUGCAAGUCGAACGGAGUUAAAUUGGAGCUUGCUUUAAUUUAACUUAGUGGCGGACGGGUGAGUAACGCGUGAGGAACCUGCCUAUAUCAGGGGGACAACAGUUGGAAACGACUGCUAAUACCGCAUAAGACCACAGUAUGGCAUCAUACAGGGGUAAAAGAGAUAUGUAUCGGAUAUAGAUGGCCUCGCGUCCUAUUAGUUAGUUGGUGGGGUAAUGGCCUACCAAGACCGUGAUAGGUAGCCGACCUGAGAGGGUGAACGGCCACACUGGAACUGAGAGACGGACCAGACUCCUACGGGAGGCAGCAGUGGGGAAUAUUGGGCAAUGGGCGCAAGCCUGACCCAGCAACGCCGCGUGAAGGAAGAAGGCCUUCGGGUUGUAAACUUUUGUUGUAGAGGACGAAGAAAGUGACUGUACUCUACGAGGAAGCCCCGGCUAACUAUGUGCCAGCAGCCGCGGUAAUACAUAGGGGGCAAGCGUUGUCCGGAAUCACUGGGCGUAAAGGGAGCGUAGGCGGAUGUUUAAGUUAAGUGUGAAAGCCUGGGGCUUAACUCCAGAAAUGCACUUAAUACUGGACAACUAGAGUGUGGGAGAGGUAAGUGGAAUUCCUAGUGUAGCGGUAAAAUGCGUAGAGAUUAGGAGGAACACCAGAGGCGAAGGCGGCUUACUGGACCACAACUGACGCUGAGGCUCGAAAGCGUGGGGAGCAAACAGGAUUAGAUACCCUGGUAGUCCACGCCCUAAACGAUGGAUACUAGAUGUGGGGUAAUAAUAUUAUUCCGUAUCGAAACUAACGCGAUAAGUAUCCCGCCUGGGGAGUACGUUCGCAAGAAUGAAACUCAAAGGAAUUGACGGGGACCCGCACAAGCAGCGGAGCAUGUGGUUUAAUUCGAAGCAACGCGAAGAACCUUACCAAGACUUGACAUAUAUAUGCAUAUCUAUGAAAGUAGAGAAAGAAUUAGUUUACUAAGUCCAUAUAAACAGAUGGUGCAUGGUUGUCGUCAGCUCGUGUCGUGAGAUGUUGGGUUAAGUCCCGCAACGAGCGCAACCCUUGUAAUUAGUUGCCAGCAUUAAGUUGGGCACUCUGAUUAGACUGCCGUAGAUAAUACGGAGGAAGGUGGGGAUGACGUCAAAUCAUCAUGCCUCUUACGUCUUGGGCUACACACGUGCUACAAUGGACGGUACAAAGAGAAGCGAUAUAGUAAUAUGGAGCAAAACUCAAAAAGCCGUUCUCAAUUCGGACUGUGGGCUGCAACCCGCCCACACGAAGACGGAGUUGCUAGUAAUCCCGGAUCAGCACGCCGGGGUGAAUGCGUUCCCGGGUCUUGUACACACCGCCCGUCAAGCCAUGGGAGUUGGGAGUACCCGAAGUCGGUGAGCUAACCAGCAAUGGAGGCAGCUGCCUAAGGUAAAACCAAUGACUGGGGUU
rnacentral:rRNA from 1 species